AGCGAACGCUGGCGGCAGGCCUAACACAUGCAAGUCGAACGAACUCUUCGGAGUUAGUGGCGGACGGGUGAGUAACACGUGGGAACGUGCCUUUUGGUUCGGAAUAACUCAGGGAAACUUGUGCUAAUACCGAAUGUGCCCUUCGGGGGAAAGAUUUAUCGCCAUUAGAGCGGCCCGCGUCUGAUUAGCUAGUUGGUGAGGUAACGGCUCACCAAGGCGACGAUCAGUAGCUGGUCUGAGGAUGACCAGCCACACUGGGACUGAGACACGGCCCAGACUCCUACGGGAGGCAGCAGUGGGGAAUCUUGCGCAAUGGGCGAAAGCCUGACGCAGCCAUGCCGCGUGAAUGAUGAAGGUCUUAGGAUUGUAAAAUUCUUUCACCGGGGACGAUAAUGACGGUACCCGGAGAAGAAGCCCCGGCUAACUUCGUG
rnacentral:rRNA from 1 species